UUUUCACUUUAGUACCCUAUGGUUUAAAGUGUAUCAUUUAGUAUCCUAUGAUUUCGCACUUUCGCACUUAAGUACUCUGUGGUUUAAAAUGCAUCAAUUUAGUACAUUGUGGUUUCAUUUUUUUUCUUUUUGUCGGCUUUUUUGUUAAUAUUUCGUUAAAUUAUAUAAAAAAAACUUCAGAUAUCCUACCUAAAUUUAUUAAAUGUUUACUUUAGUACCCUUUAAUUUAAACUUCGUCACUGAUUUUUUUUUCCUCCGUUAAUAUUUUAUUAAAUUAUAUACAAAAACUUCAAAUACCUACCUAGAUUUAUCGAAUAUUCAUUUUAGUACCCUUUAAUUUUAACCUUGUCACUGAUUUAAUGAAAAAAAUUAGUGAAAUAAAUAAUAAAAAAAAAAUAAAACCACAUAGUCCUAACUUGAUAUAUUUUAAACUACAGAAUACUAAAGUAAGAAAGUGUGAAACCAUAAAGACUAACUUGAUACACUUUAAAUUAAAGAAUAUUAAAAUAAAAAAGUACGAAACAACGUGUGAGGUAUUUAAAAGUUUAUCCUAUAAUUUAUACAAAAA
rnacentral:lncRNA from 1 species